rnacentral:tRNA from 1 species
AUUUAUAUAGUUUAAUUAAAAACCUUACAUUUUCAUUGUAAUAACGAAGGAUAUUCUAUAAAUA